GACGAACGCUGGCGGCGUGCUUAACACAUGCAAGUCGAACGGAAAGGCCCUGCUUUUGUGGGGUGCUCGAGUGGCGAACGGGUGAGUAACACGUGAGUAACCUGCCCUUCACUUUGGGAUAACUUCAGGAAACUGGGGCUAAUACCGGAUAGGAUCUCCUGCUGCAUGGUGGGGGUGGGAAAGUUUCGGCGGUUGGGGAUGGACUCGCGGCUUAUCAGCUUGCUGGUGGGGUAGUGGCUGACCAAGGCUUUGACGGGUAGCCGGCCUGAGAGGGUGACCGGCCACAUUGGGCCUGCGAUACGCCCCAGACUCCUACGGGAGGCAGCAGUGGGGAAUAUUGCACAGUGGGCGGACGCCUGAUGCAGCAACGCCGCGUGCGGGAUGCCGGCCUUCGGGUUGUAAACCGCUUUCGCCUGUGACGAAGCGUGAGUGACGGUAAUGGGUAAAGAAGCACCGGCUAACUACGUG
rnacentral:rRNA from 1 species